GUGGGACAGAAGGCCCGCUGUGACUUAGACGUGGUGUCCUUCCAGCCCCGUCCGCCUCCACUGGCCCUGUGCGCCCAAACCUACAGCCGCUCGCUCCUCCAAUGCCGAAGGAUUCAUUCCUUCCGACUUCGGCCUCGUCUCCUCUUUGACCUUGCUCUGGAAAGAGUGGAGAUGAUCGAUUGCAUUGGACACUAUGGGGCUCCGAGCAACAUUUGAGCUCAACAAAUUUCCAUCAGUAGUGGGCACCUCGUAGCUGGAUGAUCCAGACCACAGAGGACCGCGAGACGGAGGGACGAGGCUACAUCGCCCCAGUCACUAAAGGAUUAUUGUUUAGGUAUACGUACCCCCUCCCUCCGCGAAAUGCAGUGUACAUAAACCCACGUUUAUAGGACGGAAGUUGAGGGGUGCUUGAUCACAUUGCUAACGGAGUCUUCCCAGAAUUUCUUUAACUAGGUGGCUCCUCUCGUAUCUUUCCAGUUGGGUCCCACGGAUUAAAAUCCCAGUGACACCCAAUACACUGUGGUAGCAGAGAGACUACAGGGAAUAAAGAAACAACCAGGGACCAGGAGCUGGGAUGCCUGGUCUUAGUCCUGCCUAAGGACCCAUCCCAGACCCGGAAGGUGAGGACUAAUCCUGGACCACCUCUAAAUGCCAGGACUUUUAAAUCCUGAGCAAUCGGCACCAAUCCUAUCAAGCAAGAUAGACCUGUUGAUGAGAAGGCUCUGAUCCCCUAGCUGUGCUGGAAAAAGCCAGAAGGCCAGGAUGUGCCUCAGCCUGGGGUGCCCAGUGGGGUCCCCCCUGUCCUGGUGCUGUGCUCUGCUCCCCUCCCCCCAUUCGCUCUGACCUCCACCCGCAUCCACUGCUUCAAUCGUAUUCUCCCUCUGCUCUGAGUUUUCUCGGGCCCCAGUUCCCUUGAAUUUAUGACAAUUGUUAUCGUUUCUGCCAGAUUGGCCUCCCUGCUCCACUAAAUUCAUAUCCUCAACCAUC